CGCAAUUCAUCGAGUUCCUUCUCCGCCUCUGUUUCAGUCGACACCCCUUGCAAAGUUCCGCCUCUGUUCCCGUACCCGUAGAAUCUGAUUCCCCUCGCAAAUUAUCAACAAAUACUGAGGAUGAGAUUCAUAAUCUCUUAGAUCAGCUGAAUCUGUUUUCACGAUUACAAAUGGAGAAAGAUUAUUAGUUGUGAUUUUGUAAAUGAGUCAAUUUUGUUGUGCCUAUUAUUAUUGAAGAGUCGAUUUAGUUUUGCACAAUAUUUCUAUUUCAAUAUUAUCGCGUAUUCGUUGUAUAGUGUUCAAUUCUAAGAGAACUAUAUAUAACAGGAGGGGGGAUUACCAGUC